GAUGAACGCUGGCGGCGUGCCUAAUACAUGCAAGUCGAGCGAACGGACGAGAAGCUUGCUUCUCUGAUGUUAGCGGCGGACGGGUGAGUAACACGUGGAUAACCUACCUAUAAGACUGGGAUAACUUCGGGAAACCGGAGCUAAUACCGGAUAAUAUUUUGAACCGCAUGGUUCAAAAGUGAAAGACGGUCUUGCUGUCACUUAUAGAUGGAUCCGCGCUGCAUUAGCUAGUUGGUAAGGUAACGGCUUACCAAGGCAACGAUGCAUAGCCGACCUGAGAGGGUGAUCGGCCACACUGGAACUGAGACACGGUCCAGACUCCUACGGGAGGCAGCAGUAGGGAAUCUUCCGCAAUGGGCGAAAGCCUGACGGAGCAACGCCGCGUGAGUGAUGAAGGUCUUCGGAUCGUAAAACUCUGUUAUUAGGGAAGAACAUAUGUGUAAGUAACUGUGCACAUCUUGACGGUACCUAAUCAGAAAGCCACGGCUAACUACGUGCCAGCAGCCGCGGUAAUACGUAGGUGGCAAGCGUUAUCCGGAAUUAUUGGGCGUAAAGCGCGCGUAGGCGGUUUUUUAAGUCUGAUGUGAAAGCCCACGGCUCAACCGUGGAGGGUCAUUGGAAACUGGAAAACUUGAGUGCAGAAGAGGAAAGUGGAAUUCCAUGUGUAGCGGUGAAAUGCGCAGAGAUAUGGAGGAACACCAGUGGCGAAGGCGACUUUCUGGUCUGUAACUGACGCUGAUGUGCGAAAGCGUGGGGAUCAAACAGGAUUAGAUACCCAGGUAGUCCACGCCGUAAACGAUGAGUGCUAAGUGUUAGGGGGUUUCCGCCCCUUAGUGCUGCAGCUAACGCAUUAAGCACUCCGCCUGGGGAGUACGACCGCAAGGUUGAAACUCAAAGGAAUUGACGGGGACCCGCACAAGCGGUGGAGCAUGUGGUUUAAUUCGAAGCAGCGCGAAGAACCUUACCAAAUCUUGACAUCCUUUGACAACUCUAGAGAUAGAGCCUUCCCCUUCGGGGGACAAAGUGACAGGUGGUGCAUGGUUGUCGUCAGCUCGUGUCGUGAGAUGUUGGGUUAAGUCCCGCAACGAGCGCAACCCUUAAGCUUAGUUGCCAUCAUUAAGUUGGGCACUCUAAGUUGACUGCCGGUGACAAACCGGAGGAAGGUGGGGAUGACGUCAAAUCAUCAUGCCCCUUAUGAUUUGGGCUACACACGUGCUACAAUGGACAAUACAAAGGGCAGCGAAACCGCGAGGUCAAGCAAAUCCCAUAAAGUUGUUCUCAGUUCGGAUUGUAGUCUGCAACUCGACUACAUGAAGCUGGAAUCGCUAGUAAUCGUAGAUCAGCAUGCUACGGUGAAUACGUUCCCGGGUCU
rnacentral:rRNA from 1 species